UACGGAGGGUGCGAGCGUUGUCCGGAAUCAUUGGGCGUAAAGGGCGCGUAGGUGGCGGGACAAGCGUGCGGUGAAAGCCUGGGGCUCAACCCCGGGUCGGCCGUGCGAACUGUUUUGCUUGAGCACUGUAGAGGCAGAUGGAAUUCCGGGUGUAGCGGUGGAAUGCGUAGAGAUCCGGAAGAAUACCGGUGGCGAAGGCGGCCUGCUGGGCAGUGGCUGACACUGAGGCGCGACAGCGUGGGGAGCAAACAGG
rnacentral:rRNA from 1 species